UACGAGUUGCAUCCCACGCGCAUGAAAUAACGUUAAUUUAGAUACUCUCGGAAAGCGCUACUCUCUCGUUAUUUCUCCCGCUAAAGACCUGUUCCAAACUCUACGCAAGCAAACAAACGAAGAAAAACCCUAAUUUUCCCUCUCACUCGUACUCACAGCAAAAGCAAAAAAGAAAACAUAAUUAAAAAGAAGAAAGAUUUGUGAUCAAGAUAUUCAGCCAUGGAUGAAGAGUACGAUGUGAUAGUCCUAGGGACAGGCCUUAAGGAAUGCAUUCUCAGUGGUCUUCUCUCCGUUGAUGGACUCAAAGUUUUGCACAUGGAUAGGAAUGACUAUUAUGGUGGAGAAUCGACUUCUCUUAAUCUUGUGCAGCUUUGGAAACAUUUCAGGGGAGAUGAAAAGCCUCCAGAAAAGCUGGGGGCAAGCAGAGAAUAUAAUGUUGAUAUGAUGCCUAAGUUCAUGAUGGCCAAUGGCAGUCUGGUUCGUAUAUUGAUCCACACGGAUGUUACCAAGUAUCUUAAUUUCAAGGCUGUGGAUGGGAGUUAUGUGUACAAUAAGAAAAAAGUCCACAAAGUUCCAGCGACUGAUGUUGAAGCAUUUAAAUCGCCAUUGAUGGGGUUGUUUGAGAAGCGCCGAGCCAGAAAGUUCUUCAUUUAUGUCCAAGACUAUGAUGACAAUGAUCCAAAAUCUCAUGAAGGACUCGACCUGAAUAAAGUAACAGCGAGAGAACUUAUCUCAAAGUAUGGACUUGAAGAUGAUACAAUUGACUUCAUUGGUCAUGCCUUGGCACUCCACAGUAAUGAUAGCUACUUGGAUCAACCAGCUUUGGGUUUUAUUAAGAGAAUGAAGCUUUAUGCAGAGUCUUUGGCACGGUUUCAAGGAGGUUCUCCUUACAUCUAUCCACUAUAUGGACUAGGAGAAUUGCCUCAGGCAUUUGCACGUUUAAGUGCAGUUUAUGGUGGUACUUACAUGCUCCACAAGGCAGAAUGUAAGGUAGAAUUUGAUGCUGAUGGGAAAGCUACCGGUGUGACUUCAGAAGGAGAAACUGCUAAGUGCAAGAAAGUUGUUUGUGAUCCAUCUUACUUGCCUGAUAAGGUUAAGAAGGUUGGAAAAGUUGCCCGUGCUAUAUGCAUAAUGAGUCACCCUAUUCCUGAUACCAAUGAUUCUCACUCGGCUCAGGUUAUUCUGCCUCAGAAGCAACUUGGCCGUAAAUCUGACAUGUACCUCUUUUGUUGCUCAUAUGCUCAUAAUGUAGCUCCCAAGGGAAAGUCCAUUGCUUUUGUUUCAGCAGAAGCAGAGACAGACAACCCUGAGGUAGAGCUGAAACCUGGUGUUGAUCUUCUGGGACCUGUAGAAGAGAUAUUCUACGACACUUACGACAGAUAUGUUCCCACCAAUGACCAUGCAGCCGACAGCUGCUUCAUAUCUGCUUUUGAAAAAAUUAUUGCAGAGUUAUGAUCCAACAACGCACUUUGAAACCACAGUGAAUGAUGUGAUCGAGAUGUACACUAAGAUUACUGGAAAGGUUCUUGAUUUAUCAGUGGACCUGAGUGCUGCCAAUGCUGCAUCUGAAGAAUGAAGUUCUUGAAACCUGUUGCUUUCAUGCAAAAGAACAACCAUUAGUAGAGGAGAGUUCGAUUGUUUCUUCAUGUUUUUCAGCAAAUCUUUUAGAUAAAAUUCUUAAACUCAAACUACAUUUCUAUAUUACAUUCAUUGUAGGUGUUAUAUGUAAUGUACUCCGAAAUAAUGAUUGGAGUAACAUGUGUUUUUGACACGAUUCUGAUUCUUUGGAAUUUUAUAAUUUUAUCAGUUAAAAUUAAAAA